rfam:Myotis lucifugus cont2.36718, whole genome shotgun sequence.
GUCGGUUCUCUGGUGAACCAUCUCAGAAUCAGGCUCCCUCCUCUCUGGUUCCAGGUGGGUCACCCGAGAACCGCA